GGUGUCAUAAAAAAGUACUUAAAUAUCUCAAAUCCUGUGUGAUCUUGGAAACUAAGUAAGGUCUGCUCUGGUUAGCACUUGGAUGGGAGACUGGUAACAAAUACCAGAUGCUGUAAUCU
rnacentral:rRNA from 11 species